CACGUAGGGCGCAAGCGUUGUCCGGAAUUAUUGGGCGUAAAGAGCUCGUAGGCGGUCUGUCACGUCGGCUGUGAAAUCCCGAGGCUCAACCUCGGGUCUGCAGUCGAUACGGGCAAACUAGAGUAUUGCAGGGGAGACUGGAAUUCCUGGUGUAGCGGUGAAAUGCGCAGAUAUCAGGAGGAACACCGGUGGCGAAGGCGGGUCUCUGGGCAACAACUGACGCUGAGGAGCGAAAGCGUGGGGAGCGAACAGG
rnacentral:rRNA from 1 species